rnacentral:ncRNA from 1 species
AAGAGACUGUGGCGCAGCAGCGGCUACAGCGCCGAAGGAGCAACCGCCUCGGAAACUCUCAGGCUAAAGGACCGCAAGGGG